rnacentral:rRNA from 1 species
UACGGAGGGUGCAAGCGUUAAUCGGAAUUACUGGGCGUAAAGCGCGCGUAGGCGGCUUGAUAAGUCAGAUGUGAAAGCCCCGGGCUCAACCUGGGAACUGCAUUUGAUACUGUCUGGCUAGAGUAUGGUAGAGGGGGGUGGAAUUCCCGGAGUAGCGGUGAAAUGCGUAGAUAGUCGGGAGGAACACCAGUGGCGAAGGCGGCCCCCUGGACCAAUACUGACGCUGAGGUGCGAAAGCGUGGGGAGCAAACAGGAUUAGAUACCCCGGUA